GGACUACCAGGGUUUCUAAUCCCGUUCGCUCCCCUGGCUUUCGCGUCUCAGCGUCAGUAAGAGCCCAGGACCUCGCUUUCGCCACGGGCGUUCCUUCCGAUCUCAACGCAUUUCACCGCUCCACCGGAAGUUCCAGGUCCCCCUACUCCCCUCCAGGCUGCUCGUAUCGGUGCCCGUUCCCCGGUUGAGCCGGGGGAUUUCAGCGCCCGACGUGACAGCCCGCCUACACGCGCUUUAAGCCCAGUGAUUCCGAAUAACGUUCGCACGGUUCGUCUUACCGCGGCGGCUGGCAC
rnacentral:rRNA from 3 species